AUCUUGCAGACGCAAUCUCUGUAGCUCUUCCCGAAGAGCUGCAUGCCGACCACGGCGAAGAUGAAGACGAUGAUGGCCAGCACCAAGAAAGAAGAAAGGCUUCUAACUAACCAACCAACUUUUGGUGGGGUUUUUAGUCAAGAGUUUCUUCGUCAACCAAGGGGCAACGAGAAGUCAACUCUGAGAAAACUCGUUCAGGGAACCACGUAGAGACAGAGCGCCUGCAAAGGACACAUUGCAUUCUGGGAGAUGUCCCAUCAAGGGAAGAGCUGUGGAUGAAAGAGGCUGGAAAAGUGCUGGCAAUAGUGCAGACCAGCAUUGUGGCCUCUCCAAGAACUUGUCUAUUCAAUGUCAAACAUUUAGACAACAAGAACAGGAGGCAUGCCCCUUUCCUCCAAUAGACCCGCGCUGCAUCAGUGCAUUAACAGCUGCCGGAAAUUUAGCUAUAAACUACGCACAUAAACCUUUCCACCAUCUGUAGCAGCAGGAGGGAAGUUUGAUGAAUAUCAAGGCAAAUAGUGUGUAGAACCAAAGAAUUACAUAAAUUAUGUUUUUAAACAUGAGGUUAGACAGUGGGCUUGUUUAUUUGACAAUGUAUUUUAAAAACACCUCCAAAGAUGCUCUGCUGUAGACACCAGAAAACACUUUGAGUGGAUGUUCAGGGUCUCGAUAGAGGCUGCCUUUACCAUUACAAUUCUAGGAAUUCUGAUUCACGUAUCUCACCACCUCCUCAUGAUCUACCAACUCAACCUUGGGUUCACCUCUUUCUUUGUCCAGUUCAGAAUCCGUGGGCGCUCCUUAUCACCAUUCUCUUCACAUUUACUCAGCUUCUAGGCAUUUCUCUCAGUCUGUCACACUCACCUGGCAGAAGCCUAAUCUGACACACAACCCAGCAUCCACCUUCUCCAUACUUGCCCCCAAAUUGCUGAAGUCAUUGGAGAAACUGUCACACCCAAGGGAGUGUUCACAUUUUAAAUAAAUGAUCUCCAAUAUCAAAGUGGCGCUCAAAGUAGACUCCAGGUUGCAUUCCCUAAGAUAACCAGAGUGCAUUCUCCUCGAAUCUUCUAGAGAAUUUUCUCUUCUUUAUUUGCACUGUUAGUAAUGAUCCAUCUCACACUUUUCCAAGGAAAUAAAAGGUACAGGGUUUGACUUAAUCCUCCUCAGGUAAUUAAUUCUUCAGCAUGUUCCUCCACAUUUCCUCCUGCAUCAGUAGUGGAGAUAAUUCUCCUCUUUGCUCUUCCACCUUCUCAAGGACUUAACUUUCCCCCCUUUCCUGAAUUACUAAUCCAUAUUUGACUAUUCAUUCAUUUCUACAAGUAAAUAAACAUCUCUAUCAAAAUCCAUCUUUUAAAACAAUGCCAGCCAUGGCAUUGUUCUGCUUCCCUAUACAGCCAAAUUUCUUUGACGAAUGGUCUGUGUGUACCGUCUUCUCUUCUCCCUGACUUUGACUUGCCCAUUACCACCCCAGUCCAACCUGUGCUCUUACUUAUUCCGCUAAAAUUUUCUCAUGCAAGUCUCUGAUGACUUCCAUGCUGUUUAAGCUAAUGCAUGCUUCUCUGUCUUCAUCAUCCUUAAUCGUGGUUCUUCCAACAGCACUUGACACAAGCACUCCCUUUUUCUCAACAUACUUUCUUUUGGUUUCACUAUUUACAUCUUUAUUCACUUCAUACUUUACUAGAUGCUCCUUCUCUGUGUCCAUUUUCCUCACUACCUGCCUUCUAGACAUUAGGAUUGUGGAGCGGAGCAUCUUCUAAACACCAAAUUUGCUUUAAACACAAGGUUGCCCAGUCCUCUGCCUACUUAGAAACAUCAGGGUUUUCAGAAGGAUGUGUGCAUGUAUCCUUCUUGCUGCUGAUUUCUUUGAUUAUCCUGAACCAGGCAGUUCCUCUGAUCCCUAUGCCUACAUCUCCAAUUGUCUACCUUAUCUGUUCACUUAGAAGUCUUAAUGUCAUUUCAAUUUUAACUGGCCAAUAGCUGCCUUCCCCUACAAACCUGCCCAGCCAUCCCUCACUUCUCCUUGCCACUCAGCCAGUUACUGUGGCCACAAACCUACAAGACAUUCUCAACCUCUCCCCUCUUCUCUAAUCCACCAAGUUCAUUAGAUUUUAUGUUAACUCACCCUUUUCUCGUCACUUCCUGCCAGAACUCCAGAUGAAGACACAGUCUACUUUCGUUUGGUGACAGAAGCAACGACGCCUGGGUCUUCCUUCUUCCAGUUGACCAUGUCCCCUCCUCACCCAAUCACAGUUCUCCUCACAGCAGAUCAAAUGAAUAAAAUCCAAACUCCUUGCCAGGGGCUAAAACACCCUUUGUGAUAUGACCCCUGACUUUUUCUCCCACUUUCUCUUUUGCCAUCUGUUUCUCCUUUGCUAAAGUCUAACAACAUUGCUGUUUUUCCGUUCCUUAAACACACAAAUUCUUUCUUGUUCCAGGGUCUUUCCACAUGCUACUUACUCCUUCUAACUCAAGAAGGCAGCAACCGCCUUACACACUCCCACCCACUCUUACACUAUUUUAUGGAUCCUUAUUACCCUUUAGAUCUCCAGUUAAAUGCUGCCCCUUCAGACAGAUCUUCUCAUUUAGCUGGUAUCUCAAAAAAGCAGGGGCUCGGAAUGAAUGCCAAAUGGCAGCUCUCCCCUGAGAUUUAUUUUCUUUGCAUAGCUUUUUAUUACACCUUACAAUGUUUUUUAUUUAUUUGUUCCCAUCCUUUUAAUCUUUCAUUCCCAUUAGAAUAUAAGCUCCGUGAAAGCAGGCGAUAAGACUGUCAUGGUCAUUGCUUUACUGCAGAAACUUGCACAAGGCCUAUCUCAGGGGAGCACUUAAUGAACACGUGGUAAAUAAAUGCCUGAGUAAAUAUUGCAGUAAGACCUGGCUUCUAUGGCACAGAAAACAGGAAAGAAACCAAAUUCGGACUGGACACAAACUUCCUCUCUAAAACUAUCUAUCAGAAGAAAAUGAAGAGUAAUGUACAGCAUUGAAAGAGAGGAUUGUUCUAGAAAAUUUCUUGUUUGCCAGGCUGUCGUGCACUUGUGUAAACACAAUAUAAAGAUACAUUGCAAAAUUCAAGGGCUUUUCCUAUUCUUUUUUUUAAAAAUUGAUUCAAGCAAUUCCAGAAGUUAAAAAAAAAAUCAUUCAAAUUAUAAACUCAGGAAUGGGACCAAGAUUCAGAAUGAAAGAACCAGUAGUGAUUCGAGUAAAAAAAAUCUGUCUAAGGAGGUAUACAUUGAUUUGCAAAAUGGAAUGUAAAUGUUAACAGUUACCCACAAGAUACACUACUUUUAUAGCAUAUAAAUUAAGGAAUAAAACUCUUUGAAAAUUUGAAAAAAAUUUGAGAUCAUAUUUAUAAAAAUUAAGAAAACAAAGUAAAAAGGAAAAGGAAAGUAAACUAUGCUAAAUUCCUUAU